GGUAUUGUUACAAAAAUUACAGCGUCUGCCUGUCACGCAGAAGGUCACGGGUUCGAGUCCCGUCAUUCUCG
rnacentral:tRNA from 2 species